rnacentral:rRNA from 1 species
GACGAACGCUGGCGGCGUGCCUAAUACAUGCAAGUCGAGCGGACUAAUGGGAGCUUGCUCCCGUUAGUUAGCGGCGGACGGGUGAGUAACACGUGGGCAACCUACCUGUAAGACUGGGAUAACUUCGGGAAACCGGAGCUAAUACCGGAUGACAUAAAGGAACUCCUGUUCCCUUAUUGAAAGAUGGCUUCGGCUAUCACUUACAGAUGGGCCCGCGGCGCAUUAGCUAGUUGGUGAGGUAACGGCUCACCAAGGCGACGAUGCGUAGCCGACCUGGGAGGGUGAUCGGCCACACUGGGACUGAGACACGGCCCAGACUCCUACGGGAGGCAGCAGUAGGGAAUCUUCCGCAAUGGACGAAAGUCUGACGGAGCAACGCCGCGUGAGCGAUGAAGGCCUUCGGGUCGUAAAGCUCUGUUGUUAGGGAAAAAUAAGUGCUAGUUGAAUAAGCUGGCACCUUGACGGUACCUAACCAGAAAGCCACGGCUAACUACGUGCCAGCCGCCGCCGUAA